rnacentral:rRNA from 1 species
ACGCUCGACACCUACGGGAGGCGGCAGUAGGGAAUCUUCCACAAUGGACGCAAGUCUGAUGGAGCAACGCCGCGUGAGUGAAGAAGGUUUUCGGAUCGUUAAAGCUCUGUUGUUGGUGAAGAAGGAUAGAGGUAGUAACUGGCCUUUAUUUGACGGUAAUCAACCAGAAAGUCACGGCUAACUACGUGCCGGCAGCCGCGGUAAUCUGAGCGGGCUGGCAAGGC